rnacentral:rRNA from 1 species
ACUGCUCAGUAACACGUGGACAACCUACCCUGAGGAGGGGGAUAACCCCGGAAAACUGGGGAUAAUACCCCAUAGGCCAGGGAUGCUGGAAUGCCUCCUGGUUGAAAGGUCCGCCGCCUCAGGAUGGGUCUGCGGCCGAUUAGGUUGUUGUUGGGGUAACGGCCCAACAAGCCAUUGAUCGGUACGGGUUGUGGGAGCAAGAGCCCGGAGAUGGAUUCUGAGACACGAAUCCAGGCCCUACGGGGCGCAGCAGGCGCGAAAACUUUACAAUGCGAGAAAUCGUGAUAAGGGAACCCCGAGUGCCCGUAAAUUCGGGCUGUCCAUCAGUGUAAAAAACUGGUGAAGAAAGGGCCGGGCAAGACCGGUGCCAGCCGCCGCGGUAAUACCGGCGGCUCGAGUGGUGGCCGCUAUUAUUGGGCUUAAAGCGUCCGUAGCUUGGUUGUUAAGUCUCCUGGGAAAUCCACCGGCUCAACCGGUGGGCGUUCGGGAGAAACUGGCAACCUAGGGACCGGGAGAGGUGAGAGGUACUCCAGGGGUAGGAGUGAAAUCCUGUAAUCCUUGGGGGACCACCUGUGGCGAAGGCGUCUCACUAGAACGGCUCCGACAGUGAGGGACGAAAGCUGGGGGAGCAAACCGGAUUAGAUACCCGGGUAGUCCCAGCUGUAAACGAUGCGCGUUAGGUGUAUCGGUGACCACGAGUCACCGAGGUGCCGAAGGGAAACCGUGAAACGUGCCGCCUGGGAAGUACGGUCGCAAGGCUGAAACUUAAAGGAAUUGGCGGGGGAGCAC